CAGGAUCCUCUGGGGCCCCAUCCCCACCCACAGGCCCAACUCAAAGCUGGGGAGUCACGGGGGCCUCAGUCCAGCGAGUGCACCACUGGCCCCAGGCUUGUCCCUCGAGCUCUCAGCUGACCUAACUCCUGCUCCAGUCCCAGCGCAGCUUGUGUCCUAGGGUGGGGGAGGGAUCGGGCAGAGAUGUGGGGGGACCCCAGGGCUCCAUGGGCCCUGAGGGGGGGUCAUGGGGGUCAUGGGGAAGGAGAUGUUGGGACCAGCCACCUCACCUCCCAUCCUGACCCCCAGGAGGCUCCCAGGAUCAGCCCUUCCCCCCCACGGACUCAGGCCCCCGCAGGGGUAAGUGCGGGUCUGUGGAGAGGGGUCCGUGGGGGGCAGGGUGGGGCUGUGCCCCCAAGUCAGGCACCUCUGGACACUCAGACUUGGAUGCCCCCACCCCCCGAGGGCCUCUGCCUGUCCACAUGUCAAAGGAGAGAGUCCAGGCCCAGAGCUCGGGGGUCCUUCCAGGUCUGAUUCUGCCGGGACCCACGGGAACAGGAGGCCCCCGGGAGGGACUGGAUGGGGGACUGGAUGGGGCCUGUCCCCUCUUGGCCUGAUGGUGACACUGUGGGUGGGAGGGGGCGGGGGCAGGACAGGGGUCCAGGGGUCCAGGCGCUUCCCCUUCAGCCUGGGGAGCUCAGCUCCCGGAGGAAGUGUGAGGGCUGGGCUCAGACUCCUGGCUGCAGUCCCCGCUCCCGCUGUCAGACCAGCCAGGGGCCUCCCUCCUCAGAGUCUCGGGUCCAAGGCUGGUGGGCUCCCUGGUCCCCUGCCCCGGGAUCACAGGACUGCCAUCAGGCCUCCCAUGGUACCUGAGCCUUCUGAUCGGGGUCUCGGUGGCCUUCGUCCUGCUGCUGCUCCUCCUCCUCUUCCUCCUCUCCGACAUCGACACCGACACCGGGGUCAGGACAGAUGCAGGAAGUCAGGUGAGCAGGGAACAGGGGAAACCCAGGCCCCCAGAGGCGCUGGGUUGAGGGCACCAGCCAACGAGAACCAAAGAGGUGGGUGAGGUCAGCUUAGAAGGAGAUGGUCCAGAGUCUCAGGUCUGAAAAUCUGGAACGAAGACUCUUAACGUCAGGUCACAGGCAGACAUGCAGGGGGUUUCUCGGGUCUCAUGUCCUGAAACACUGACACCCACGUGCGGGAAGGAGUCAGGGUUUCCUUCUUGCCCUGGAGCCCCGUGGAGCAGGGGGCAUAACAGGCCCAGGCUGAGGUGUGCCCGCUGACCCCGCCCAGGGCAACGCUGACCUCCAACUUCCUGCAGGGGCUGCAGACCCAGAGCCCGAGGACAGAGGCCUGCAGAACAGGUGACUCCUGCCCCAAAGACCCCAGGCUCCCAGCUGCCCGCAGCCCCGUCCGCCCCUAACACCCCCAUCUCCUCCCAGCUCCAGCCCAGCCGCCGACGCCCAGGACCAGAACCUCUGUGAGCAGAAGAGGAGGGCGGCCCUGGGGGUGGGCAUGGAGAGCUCUGCAGCAGGGGGGGAUCCCUGGGGUGGGGGACGAGCACUGAUGCAGCACCCAUCCCCUGCCUUCUGGGUGCAGGGGGUCCAGCCCUGAGAAAUCUCAGGGAGUCCUGCCCAGCAAGGCCCCCUUCCCCCCGGUUCUGCCCCAGCAGAUGCUGCCCUGAAGGACACACAGUCUGAGGAGGGGACGGAGCUGGACCAUCUGGUGAGACCCCUGCUCCUGGCCAGGCCACCAAAGACCUUCUUGUGGCCCAACUUCACCCAGGGUAGCCGUCUCAGUGCCCACACCCCAGCCCCACCAGCACCCACACUGGCCUCUCCUCUGGGCCCCUGGGUCAUCCCCCUGUGGCUCCCCCUUCUGUCCACUUGUGGCCCCACCUUCAGGGUCCCCUCUCCUGACUCCUCCUCCUCUGUCUGACCCUCUGGUGCUGGAUGCAGCCCCGCGGCUCAGGAGGAUGCGUGGAUAAGGGAAUGGCCCGCAAGUGCCCAGGCUCCCGACCUUCCUGCUCCCAACAGACGGGCCCAGGGGAGCACCUCGCCCGGCAC
rnacentral:lncRNA from 1 species